CGAGUCCUGCCGCCGAUCCACAGACACGAAGAGAUGGCAGGAGCGGGGGAACCACGUUUUCCGGCGCGCACCGCGCACGGUUCGGGAGUCGGCCGGCUUCCGAAACGGGUGACAGGGGGCGCGUCUUGGGGUGAAGCCGCAUAGGACGGCCGGGCCACUCUGCCCGAACCCGACAGCUCACCUCGUAGGCGUGGAGGAAUUUCCAU
rnacentral:sRNA from 2 species